GCUCGGGGGUGCGGGCUGUCGGGGGCGCGCGCCGUCGGGCCCCACCGGGGCUGUGUUUCGCCACAGAAGAAGUAGAGGAGUCUGGGAAAACACGCUCACCUGGGGGACGGAGCUAAUUUGCAUGUUCUGGGAACUCUGGUGACAAAGCAGUGGCUUCAAUAAUCACCAGGCGUCGUCGUAUGUCAUCCCGCGUGGUUGCUGUGCGGCAGGAACCUGGCCCAGGCACGGCGGGAACGGCUUGGUUCUGAUUCAUGACUGAGGUCUCAGCUGGGAGACCCCGAGGCUGGGCUGGGCCAUCUGAAGGGACACAGGCCGAUGCUGGCUGUUGGCUGCGGCUUAGCUGGGGCUGUGGAAGGAACACCGCAUGUGGCCUCCCCACGCGGUUAGGGCUCCUCACAACGUGGUGGCCGGAUUCCACUGGGAGCAUCCGGAGAGAAGGGGAGACAAAGAGGAGAGAGGGAGAGAGGGAGCGAGGGAGGGGGAUGCAUGUCGUACGACACCUCGGAAGCCGUGAGCAUCAUUCCCGCUGCGUUCUAUUGGUCCAAGAAGUUACAAAGGUCCGCCCGUGUUCAAGAUGCCAGCAUGGACCCCACCUAUCUCUCUGUGGAGGAACAUCAAUGUCACGUCCAAAGAAAGGAUGUGAGAUGGGAUAUAUUUUGCUGCAGCUAUUCUGAGUCGAAAGCCAGAAAACACAUGCCAUUCAACUGUCAGUGGACACGGAGAUGGUCACCUUCAUCCAGGUGACACCGCACCACCUGCUCUGCUUUUCCCUGCAGUGGUCGGUCACACCGGGGUCAGGACCAAGGGUGCAUGCCCUGCACAAGGGCCCGAUGAAAGGCUACUUCUGAGUCCAUAAGGUAACAGAAGAACGUCCUAGGUUACAGUUAAUAAAGGCCAUUGUUACUGGAUGUGAACAAAGCCGGCCUUCAUUUCUUUAUUCGGUGGCCCAUUUGGUGAAGCACUUAAGAAACGCCCAGGCCAACAUACACAUACAAUGGUUUUAAUUACAUCCUGUGAAUUUAUUCUUCCAGAGAGGAAUAUUUCUCAGGGAAAUGUCCAUAAAAGCAACUUUCACAGCAGUGUGAUUGUGUGUGUUUCCUAGAGGAAGUCUGUUUAGUUUAAGUCCCACUCUGAGUACAACUUUUUACAAAGACAGGGGCCCGAGAAGGCUGCCAACAGCCCCAGAGAUGGUGAUGUCAUGGCCUGGGACACCAGGGAUACUGGGCGUGAGGCCUGCCCCCCCAUGAAAAGAAGGCAGAGUGGGUGAGGGCAGAGUGGUUCCCACUGACUCACUCUCUGGGCAACCUUUAGUGAGUUUGCAGGGUUAUUUCCACACUCAAAAUAAGCUUGACAGAAUGGGCAAAUAUAGAUACAACAUCGUAUACAACAAUUUGAAAGUACAGAUUCUUUUCAAAAUAACGUGAGAAGAACAAGUGUAGGCAAGUAUGGUGGUUCCUCAACACAUUAAACAGAGAAAUACCAUACGAUCCAGCAAUUCCAAUUCUGGGUAUGUAUCCAAAAAAAAUGGAAAGCAAGUAUGCAAAUAGAUAUUUGCACACCCACACUCACAGCGGCAUUAUUCACGAUAGCCGAAAGGUGAAGGCAGCCCAGGUAUCCACUGACAAGUGAGUGGGUGAACAAAGUGGGGUCCAUCCACAGCACGGAAUGGUAUCAGCCUUGAAAAGAAACGAAAUUCUGACACAGGCUACGACACGGAUGAACCUUGAAGACACCGUGCUGAGUGAAAGGAGCCAGUCACAAAACGACAAAUAGUGCCUGACUCCACUUAUAUGAGGUCCCUGGAAGAUUCAGAUUCAUCGACACAGAAAGUAAAAUGAGUGUCGCCAGCGCUGGAGGAGGAGGGAUGGGGAGUUAGUGUUUAAUGGGGACAGAGUUUCCGUUCGGGAAGAUGCAAGAGUUCUGGCGAUGGAUGGUGGUGACGGUUGCACAACUAUGUGAAUGUGCUUAACGUCACUGGAUAUACACUGAAAAAUGGUUAAGAUAGUGAAUUUUAUGUUAUGUGUAUUUUACCACAAUAAGAAUAAAAGGGGGGAUAAUGACAUGUCACAAUGCUGUUUGUUAAGCCCAAUAAAGUGAUAAAUUGUGAAAAAAAGUUACAUGGCAUUUUACGAAAUUGACUACAUGCUAGGCCAUAUGCGGCCUCCACUCA